AAGGAUGUAGCUCAGUGGUAGAGCACCUGCUUAGCAUGUACAAGACCCUGGGUUCCAUCCCCAGCACCCAAA
rnacentral:tRNA from 1 species